CGACACCCUCACAAGUAGAUGUGCACACGGACACACUAACAUGUAGUUGUGCACACAAAGACAAACUAACAUGUAUAUGUACACAAAGACACACUAACUUGCCGAUGUACACACGGACACACUAACUUGCCGAUGUACACAAAGACACACUAACUUGCCGAUGUACACAAUGACACACUAACAAGUAGAUGUACACAAAGACACACUAACAUGUAGAUAUGUACACAAAGACACACUAACUUGCCGAUGUACACAAAGACACACUAACUUGCCGAUGUACACAAAGACACACUAACUUGCCGAUGUACACAAAGACACACUAACUUGCCGAUGUACACAAAGACACACUAACUUGCCGAUGUACACAAAGACACACUAACUUGCCGAUGUAUACAAAGACACACUAACUUGCCGAUGUAUACAAAGACACACUAACUUGCCGAUGUACACACGGACACACUAACUUGUCGAUGUACACACGGACACACUAACUUGUCGAUGUACACACGGACACACUAACAUGUAUAUGUACACAAAGACACACUAAUAUAUGUACACAAAGACACACUAACAACAUUAACAUCUUAAUAACUUUGUCUUCUUAUCUUUCUUCUCAGGAACUCCAAUUAUUGUGUUAUUAUUGUCAUUAUUGCUAUUUUUAAUAAUGUUAUUAUUAUAAUUGUUAUUAUUAUUAAACGUUUCAUCUGAACAAUAAAAAUGAAACCAAAUGAAUCCGUCUACUUUUCCUCAGAGCAAAGAGAAUCACAUGUUCUUUAUUAGUUGUUGACGUGAAUAAAGUGAAACAACAAUGAUGUUAAGUUAAUGAGCGUUUGUGUAUUUAAUGACACACAAAGGUUUGAGUCGAUUUCAAUCGAUAACUCACUUCCUCCUGUAAUCAGACAUCUCGUCUCAGAAUAACAGCGGAAGAAGAGAAUAUUUAAAGUAGAUGAACAGGUUUCCUAUAUGGAACAUUUGGAUUAAAACAUGAAUGUUGCUAAAAAAUGGAAGUCAGGCAACUCAAAGCACAAACAAAUUAAAUUCUCUACAAAUAAAACUAAUUCAAACCCAGAGUUCAACUAAUGUACUCGCUCCAAUGUUAAUGUAACUUGAUCUCAACCAUCUCUAGUCACUAAAAUCAGCCAACGAAUCAGAGGGUUCGUUCUGGAUGAAUCAUUGAACCUGUAACACAUCUUUGUUAUUAUGCUGUAAUAGUGUAACGAUCAGGCUGCAGGCAGAAGCACCACCCAAACGCAGAGUUUUGAAAACAAAAGGUAGUUUUAAUGAAUCCAAAAUAUCCAAAAUCAAAAAACACAAGGAGGGAAAAAACCCAGACAUAAAGACAUGGAACUCACAGGCAAGAUGAGGACAGACGAGCGAUGAGAGGACCGUCCAAGAAAGCGCUUUUAUUUCGCUAUUUGGAGGUGUAUGCAGGAAGUCUUAUUCUGAAAGGACACAAUUGGGUUUCCCGAAAUGCGGAUGUAUUGUUGGUGAUAUUGGCGACUUUUUAACCAAUAGUGUGUGAAUCACAUUUUUUUUUUGCCUGUGCAAUUAUUGAGACUGAUCGGACUCGAAAAUAGUAAAAACGCUAAUACAUUAAUAGAGGUGUUUCAAUCAGCACACUGUAGUUUCAUGGUGUAAACUAGUUCCAACGACAAUGUCGUACUAAUCCUGUGUAUGUGGCCCACCUGCGAUUUGGGAGCGUUUUUCUCAUCAUGAAUGAAAUUCAGGCACGUGCACAGACAUUUUGGGGGGCAGGUGCUCAAACCAAAAUAAAAGGGCACAGAUUGCCCAAAUUAUUUAUGAAAUUAAAAUAAUAUUAAUAAAUAAAUAAAAAUCACAAUAUUUUCAACCUGUUAAAACUAACUCAAUGUAUCUAACUGAAUAAAUACAUGUAUAACAGGCAACAACUGACAAAACAAGGCCAUAUUGGACCUAAGCAAUAAGGUACUUGAGCAGAGGCAGUACUUUAUCGUUAUAUACACAUCGUUAUAUUUUACACUCAUAAAGUACCCCAAUAUACCUCACCAGACUGCCAUGUAGCUCAACUUAAGACUUAAAUUAAGCAAAACUAGUGAACCAGUGAACUUGUCUAAUUUGUAAAAUGAAUGAAAAGUAUCUGCCUGCCUGUAUCUCUUCUCUCUCUCUCUUCAUUGAACGUCAGUAAACAGCUGGAUAAGGCUUUGAAAUCACGGAUUUUCAAGUUUUUUGUUUGUUUAUUUUUUUGGAAACGUCGGACCAGUUGCGAUUAAUGUUUUCAUAAUGUUUUUUGGAGGUUUGCACAAACACCUUCAUCACCUGUGUGUCGAAUGCUGCAGCCGCUUGGCGCUCAGCGCUGCACGAGCACCAAGGAGGAGGAGGAGGAGGAGGAGGACAAACCGUGUAGCUGUGUACAAAAAGGGAAACCAUCAUUGGUUGUGUUUGAGGGAACUGUCACACAUUGACAUACCAUGAAUGGAUGGUAUCUUCUCCUUUGGUGUCAUGGUACGGUCACCUCUCGUUAAAGCACAGGAACACUCUGGUCCAGCAGGCUGAUUGGUGAGUCCAUAACACAUCUGGCUCCAUUGUAAAACCUUUGCACAAUGGAUUUCAGCUCGAGUCCAGACGGACGUAUAUGGUCCCGUGGUGCAGAACAAAGCGCUGAAAGAACUCAAGUGAAUAGCAACAGAGCAGAGGAUGUUUUCAGGACUGCUACUGACAGUCUGGAUGAGUUCACAGAGGCUGUAACUUACUACAUCGGCUUCUGUGAGGACAGCUGUGUACCAUCAUGCACCAGGGUGAGUUUCAACAACGACAAACCCUGGUUCACAGCGGAGCUCAGAACACUACGUCUGCAGAAGGAUCAGGCAUUUAGGAGCGGAGACAAAGACUUGUACACAGAGGCAAAAUACAAGUUUAGCAAGGCGGUGAGAGACGCUAAACGACUGUACUCUGUGAAACUCCAACAACAGUUCUCAGCAAGUGACUCUGCUUCGGUCUGGAGAGGCCUCAAACACCUCACCAACUACAAGCCAAAAACCCCCCACUCCAUGAAUGACCUCCGCCUGGCAGACAAGCUCAAUGAGUUCUACUGCAGAUUUGAAAGACAAUGUCCUGAUCCCAUCCCCCACAGCUCCACCAACCUG
ensembl:lncRNA